rnacentral:rRNA from 1 species
UACGUAGGGUGCAAGCGUUGUCCGGAAUUAUUGGGCGUAAAGAGCUCGUAGGCGGCCUGUCGCGUCGGAUGUGAAAGCCCGGGGCUUAACCCCGGGUCUGCAUUCGAUACGGGCAGGCUAGAGUUCGGUAGGGGAGAUCGGAAUUCCUGGUGUAGCGGUGAAAUGCGCAGAUAUCAGGAGGAACACCGGUGGCGAAGGCGGAUCUCUGGGCCGAUACUGACGCUGAGGAGCGAAAGCGUGGGGAGCGAACAGG